GCUUAUGUAGCUUAAUGGUAGAGCAACCGCCUGAAGUGCGGUAGGUAUGAGUUCAACUCUCAACUUAGGCA
rnacentral:tRNA from 1 species